rnacentral:rRNA from 1 species
GAUGAACGCUGGCGGCGUGCCUAAUACAUGCAAGUCGAGCGAACAGACGAGGAGCUUGCUCCCCUGACGUUAGCGGCGGACGGGUGAGUAACACGUGGAUAACCUACCUAUAAGACUGGGAUAACUUCGGGAAACCGGAGCUAAUACCGGAUAAUAUAUUGAACCGCAUGGUUCAAUAGUGAAAGACGGUUUUGCUGUCACUUAUAGAUGGAUCCGCGCCGCAUUAGCUAGUUGGUAAGGUAACGGCUUACCAAGGCAACGAUGCGUAGCCGACCUGAGGGGGUGAUCGGCCACACUGGAACUGAGAAACGGUCCAGACUCCUACGGGAGGCAGCAGUAGGGAAUCUUCCGCAAUGGGCGAAAGCUUGACGGAGCAACGCCGCGUGAGUGAUGAAGGUCUUCGGAUCGUAAAACUCUGUUAUUAGGGAAGAACAAAUGUGUAAGUAACUAUGCACGUCUUGACGGUACCUAAUCAGAAAGCCACGGCUAACUACGUG